GGUGUUGUCAGAUGAUGAAACCAUUGAGUGAUCCACUGGCAGAGUUUUCUGGAACUGUGCUGAUCAUCAGCUAUCUGAGACAAUAUC